rnacentral:rRNA from 1 species
AGCAGUAGCCGCGGGAAUACGGAGGGUGCAAGCGUUACUCGGAAUCACUGGGCGUAAAGGACGCGUAGGCGGAUUAUCAAGUCUCUUGUGAAAUCUAACGGCUUAACCGUUAAACUGCUUGGGAAACUGAUAAUCUAGAGUAAGGGAGAGGCAGAUGGAAUUCUUGGUGUAGGGGUAAAAUCCGUAGAUAUCAGGAAGAAUACCUAUUGCGAAGGCGAUCUGCUGGAACUUAACUGACGCUAAUGCGUGAAAGCGUGGGGAGCAAACAGGAUUAGAUACCCGCGUAGUCCCUGUCUCUUAUAA